rnacentral:lncRNA from 1 species
GGUCUCCUUCCUCCCGACUAUAAUAUAUAGUUGAGCAAGAAUCAUUGGGUAUGAAGUAGUGUCUUGAACAAAAAAAACUUGUUCUGUGAUCACAUCUCCAACAUUUAUAAAUAUAAAGAUCUCUUCAUGUAUUAUUUGAUGCCCAAAUCAUCCAACCAUGGUUAAUAUCAAUGGGCCACCUUUCACGUUUAUAGACUUCUUUUGACAUAAUAUUAAUUUCAAAUCCAUGCUCAAUGAGAGCAAUUAUUAGUUCUACCAAGUCUUCCAUUUUUACUAAAGUCUCUGUGGUGGCUCUUGCUCAAUGUCCCUUCGUAUAGU